AUAAAUAAUUGUUUAUGUAAGUAAUAUUAAUUACUUACAAUAGAAAAUAAUAAUAAUAAAUAAAUAAACAAAUACCAGCAAUGGCACCUCUCAUUCAGCUGAAUGCUGUUGUACCAGGUAAGUGGUACUGCAGCGCUGAUUUUCGAUGAGAGGGCCAGGAGACGUGCGGACGCAUAGUCGGCUUAUAUAUUAUACAAUAUUGGGAUUAUGCAUUUAUUAUGUUAUUUAUGGCACGAGCCGAACAUAACUCACAACGCUCACAACCGGGCCCGGCGGCGAGUUGCGCACACGCUCCGGUGCGCAGCGUAUAUUAGUCUUAAAUUCGAUUGCUUAAAUUCACUGUCCAAGUAGAAAACGAAACUAAAACAAAAUAUAUAUACCUAAGUAAUAGUCAUUGUACAAUAAUAAAUUGUGUAACUAUUAACUUUGGGGGUACAAUACACGUUGAAAUAAUGCCACACGCCACUCAUUAACAAAGUACCACUAUGCAGCAAUGGGAUUAGUCAUGGCGGCCACUAUCACUGAUCGUGAAACAACAUCCACCUCGCCGCCCGGACGAAUACGUGAAGACCGACAUGGAGGAGGAAUGUUGUUCCAACAGUGCGUGGCGGCAUACCUAAAGGAUCCCCGAAAGGCAGUGGUCCUGUGAUGUGGAGUCAUCAUUGGAUUAGUUAUAGUUCGCGUGCCAAAUCUGAAAUGGUCUUGUCUCCAACAUAGUUUGUUAUAAAGGUAUUUUGGCUU
rnacentral:lncRNA from 1 species